GACGAACGCUGGCGGCGUGCUUAACACAUGCAAGUCGAACGGAAAGGCCUGCUUUCCCUUGUGGAUUGCGGGUACUCGAGUGGCGAACGGGUGAGUAACACGUGAGUGAUCUGCCCCCAACUUGGGUAUAAGCCUGGGAAACUGGGUCUAAUUCCCGAUAGGACUGCAGGGUGGUGCCUGUGGUGGAAAACGAUUUUCUAGUGGUUGGGGAUGAGCUCGCGGCCUAUCAGCUUGUUGGUGGGGUAAUGGCCUACCAAGGCGGCGACGGGUAGCCGGCCUGAGAGGGUGGACGGCGACAUUGGGACUGAGAUACGGCGCAGACUCCUACGGGAGGCAGCAGUGGGGAAUAUUGGACAAUGGGCGGAAGCCUGAUGCAGCGAGGCCGCGUGGGGGAUGACGGCCUUCGGGUUGUAAACUCCUUUCGACCGCGAGGAAGCCACCUGGUUGGAAGGGUGGUGACGGUAGUGGUAGAAGAAGCACCGGCUAACUACGUG
rnacentral:rRNA from 1 species